GUUAUUUUUUAUUUUUUUCAUUCUCGAUAAAUACCAUAGAUGUACAGAGGAUCAAAAAAGUAUUUGCACACAUUCAUUAUUAUGCAAAAAUAUAAGUGGAAAGGAAUUGUGGCUAUAGUGCCACGAUUGGAUGGCUUUUAUAAUAAAUAUGGUACGGGUACAGACUGACCGCAACCGGAAAUUCCGCCCCAUUCGGCCCCCUUUAUAUUGUACCCCCCUAAUUUGAUGAUGCUGAGUCCAAAAAUGAUGUCAGUUUUUUCGCUAUUAGAACAUGUCUAUGCCAAGAACGUAUCUCUCUGAGUGUCAAAAAAGGAAAUUAGCAGAAAAGAAAAAAGAAGAAAAGCAAAAUCUCAAAAAGUCAUGGAUAAAUUUGAAUUUGUGGUUACAAAAUAAAUCUGACAACGAAAUUGUUACUACUUCAGCAGUUGUGAUUCAAGCUUUGACUGGAGAAGAAAACUCUAAACAACACAACUUUGCCAUGAAAAUGUAGAAACUGUAGAAUUUGUCAAAAAGGAUGCAUAUGAUUCUACAAAUGUAUUGGAUACAGAAAAUAAUGAUGAAAAUGAUGAUAACAAUGAUAAUCAAGUGAACAUAAAUGAUCUGGGUUUGUGGCCGAAAUAUUAUUACAGAAAAAUGUAGAU
rnacentral:lncRNA from 1 species